UCAGGGUGAAACUGCUGAGUGGAGAGCUGCUUGAUCAUCUUCAUUCCUUCAUUAGUCCAUGUGAUUCGAGGCCAGUGUUUGCUGACAGCACAUCAUCUCUAUCCCCACUCUUCAUGACUCUUAGGCUCAGCAACGUGUGGUCAUUUAUGGAGACCCAACCCCAUUCCGAGCUUCUCUGGUGGGGCAGUAAUUAUGAAAGACUCUUACAACUGGGAGAAAUGAACAAGCCAAGUUCUCUCAUUUCAAUGAAGAGGAAACAGAAGUCCAGCAAAUGAAAAGGAACUUACCCCCAAAUAAAACAAAUUGGUGCUUA